rnacentral:rRNA from 1 species
GCUUGAAGUCAGUCGCGUUGUCCGGAACUCAGCCUUGCUUUUGCUUGGUGCACUUUCCGGAUGACGGGUCAGCAUCGAUUUUGACCGUCGGAAAAGGGCUGGAGUAAUGUGGCACCUCCGGGUGUGUUAUAGACUCUGGUCGCAUACGGCGGUUGGGAUCGAGGAACGCAGCGCGCCGCGAGGCAGGGGUUCGCCCACUUUCGCGCUUAGGAUGCUGGCAUAAUGGCUUUAAACGACCCGUCUUGAAACACGGACCAAGGAGUCUAACAUACUUGCGAGUGUUUGGGUGGAAAACCCGAGCGCGUAAUGAAAGUGAAAGUUGAGAUCCCUGUCGUGGGGAGCAUCGACGCCCGGACCAGACGUUCUCUGACGGAUCCGCGGUAGAGCAUGUAUGUUGGGACCCGAAAGAUGGUGAACUAUGCCUGAAUAGGGUGAAGCCAGAGGAAACUCUGGUGGAGGCUCGUAGCGAUUCUGACGUGCAAAUCGAUCGUCAAAUUUGGGUAUAGGGGCGAAAGACUAAUCGAAC